GAUGAACGCUGGCGGCGUGCCUAAUACAUGCAAGUCGAGCGCAGAGACGAGGUACUUGUACCACUUACGUUAGCGGCGGACGGGUGAGUAACACGUGGAGAAUCUACCUUUAAGCCUGGGAUAACUUCGGGAAACGGAAGCUAAUACCGCAUAAUAUAUUUAAACACAUGGUUCAAUAGUGAAAGAUGCAUUUGCUUUCACUAAUAGAUGUAUCCGCGUCGCUUUAGCUAGUUGGUAAGUUAACGGCCAACCAAGCCGAGGAUCAGUAGCCGCCCGGAGAGGGUGUUCGCCCAAAUGGGAAUGGGGACACGGUCCAGACCCCUACGGGAGGCAGCGGAGGGGAAUCUUCGGCAAGGGGCAAAGUCCGGACGGAGCAACGCCGGGUGGGGGAUGAGGUUCUUCGGUCCGUAAACCCUUGUGAUAAGGGAAGACCAAAUGUGUAAUUAAAUAUGCACGUCGUGACGGUACCUAAUCAGAAAGCCACGGCUAACUACGUG
rnacentral:rRNA from 1 species